rnacentral:rRNA from 1 species
AAUCUUCCACAAUGGUCGAAAGCCUGAUGGAGCAACGACGCGUGAGCGAAGAAGGUUUUCGGAUCGUAAAACUCUGCUGGAAGGGAAGAACAAGUACAGUAGUAACUGGCUUUACCUUGACGGUACCUUAGUACAUAGCUACGGCUAUCUACGUGCCAGCAGCCGCGGUAAUACGCAGGUUGCAAGCGUUUUCCGGAAUUAUUGGGCGUAAAGCGCGGGCAGGCGGUACUUUAAGUCUGAUUUGAAAGCCCACGGGUAAACCGUGGUGGGUUAUUGGAAACAGGGGGACUUGAGUGCAGAAGAGGAAAGUGGAAUUCCAAGUGUAGCGGUCAAAUGCGUAGAGAUUUGGAGGAACACCAGUGGCGACGGCGACAUUCUAGUCUGUAACUGACGCUGAGGCGCGAAAGCGUGGGUAGCAAACAGG